rnacentral:rRNA from 1 species
UACGUAGGCAGCGAGCGUUGUUCGGAGUUACUGGGCGUAAAGGGUGUGUAGGCGGUCCUCCAAGUUUGGUGUGAAAUCUCCCGGCUCAACCGGGAGGGUGCGCCGAAAACUGGGGGGCUAGAGUGCGGGAGGGGAGAGUGGAAUUCCUGGUGUAGCGGUGAAAUGCGUAGAUAUCAGGAGGAACACCUGUGGUGUAGACAGCUUACUGGACCACUUCUGACGCUGAGACACGAAAGCGUGGGUAGCAAACAGG